UACGGGGGGGGGCAAGCGUUGUUCGGAAUUACUGGGCGUAAAGGGCGCGUAGGCGGCCUGCUAAGUCGGACGUGAAAUCCCUCGGCUCAACCGAGGAACUGCGUCCGAUACUGGUGGGCUUGAAUCCGGGAGAGGGAUGUGGAAUUCCAGGUGUAGCGGUGAAAUGCGUAGAUAUCUGGAGGAACACCGGUGGCGAAGGCGGCACUCUGGGCCGGAACUGACGCUGAGACGCGAAAGCGUGGGGGAGCGAACAGG
rnacentral:rRNA from 1 species